CUGAGAGAGAUCAGAGAUACAUUUACAAGUACCCUGCAGUUUUUAGUUGCACCAUUUUUUUUUCCCAAACGCAAGCUUUAUAUUCUUUUUAAGAUAGGAAAAUUGACAUGAUAGAAAUAUUAAUAUCUAAAACAUUUGUACCAGGGUGUAAUCCGAAUCAUCUCUGUACAGAAACCCAUUAAGCAUUUACCUCCAAACCCAAUUUAUUUUGUCCAGUAGUUCAGUCAGUAGUAAGCAUGAGAUAAAGUGCUACUAUUUAAACACCAAAACACUUGGAAAAAAUUUACCCUUUAAAAUGUGUAAGGUUGCUAAAUACGAAAUAACACAACCAACAAACUGUCAGCCAGCCUGUGAAACCAUAGCUCAUGCUACAGCAGACUGCAAUGAUAGAUAUUUCAGUGGUGGUUUGGUUUUAUUGUUUGUUUGUUUUAAAAUGAGGCUACA